GACGAACGCUGGCGGCGUGCUUAACACAUGCAAGUCGAACGGAAAGGCCCUGCUUUUGUGGGGUGCUCGAGUGGCGAACGGGUGAGUAACACGUGAGUAACCUGCCCUUGACUUUGGGAUAACUUCAGGAAACUGGGGCUAAUACCGGAUAGGAGCUCCUGCUGCAUGGUGGGGGUUGGAAAGUUUCGGCGGUUGGGGAUGGACUCGCGGCUUAUCAGCUUGUUGGUGGGGUAGUGGCUUACCAAGGCUUUGACGGGUAGCCGGCCUGAGAGGGUGACCGGCCAAAUUGGGACUGAGAGACGGCCAAGACUCAUACGGGAGGCAGAAGUGGGGAAUAUUGCACAAGGGGCGGAAGCCUGAUGCAGCAACGCCGCGUGCGGGAUGACGGCCUUCGGGUUGUAAACCGCUUUCGCGUGUGACGAAGCGUGAGUGAGGGUAAUGGGUAAAGAAGCACCGGCUAACUACGU
rnacentral:rRNA from 1 species